GCCAGGCAUGGUGUUGCAUGCCUGUAAUCCCAGCUAUUCAGGAGGCUGAGGUGGGAGGAUCGCUUGAACCCAGGAGGCAGAGGUUGCAGGGAGCUGAGAUCGUGCCUCUGCACUCCAGCCUGGGUAACAUAGCAAGACUCCAUCUCAA
rnacentral:SRP_RNA from 1 species